rnacentral:rRNA from 1 species
GACGUAGGGGGCCAGCGUUGUUCGGAAUUACUGGGUGUAAAGGGUUCGUAGGCGGUGUAGCAGGUCGGGAGUGAAAUCUCUGGGCUUAACCCAGAGGCUGCUUCCGAAACUGCUGUGCUUGAGUGUGGGAGAGGCGCGUGGAAUUGCAGGUGUAGCGGUGAAAUGCGUAGAUAUUGGGAGGAACACCAGAUGCGAAGGCGGGUCACUGGGCUGAUACUGACGCUGAUGCGCGAAAGCCAGGGGAGCGAACGGG